GACGAACGCUGGCGGCGUGCUUAACACAUGCAAGUCGAACGGUAAGACCCUUCGGGGUAUACGAGUGGCGAACGGGUGAGUAACACGUGGGUGAUCUGCCCUGCACUUCGGGAUAAGCCUGGGAAACUGGGUCUAAUACCGGAUAGGACUCCGGACUGCAUGGUCUGGGGUGGAAAGCUUUUGCGGUGUGGGAUGGGCCCGCGGCCUAUCAGCUUGUUGGUGGGGUGAUGGCCUACCAAGGCGACGACGGGUAGCCGGCCUGAGAGGGUGACCGGCCACACUGGGACUGAGAUACGGCCCAGACUCCUACGGGAGGCAGCAGUGGGGAAUAUUGCACAAUGGGCGCAAGCCUGAUGCAGCGACGCCGCGUGAGGGAUGACGGCCUUCGGGUUGUAAACCUCUUACAGCAUCGACGAAGCGAAAGUGACGGUAGGUGCAGAAGAAGGACCGGCCAACUACGUGCCAGCCGCCGCAGUAA
rnacentral:rRNA from 1 species